AGUCGAGCGAGCGGAACUAAAGAUUUACUUCGGUAAUGACGUUAGGAAAGCGAGCGGCGGAUGGGUGAGUAACACGUGGGGAACCUGCCCCAUAGUCUGGGAUACCACUUGGAAACAGGUGCUAAUACCGGAUAAGAAAGCAGAUCGCAUGAUCAGCUUUUAAAAGGCGGCGUAAGCUGUCGCUAUGGGAUGGCCCUGCGGUGCAUUAGCUAGUUGGUAAGGUAAAGGCUUACCAAGGCGAUGAUGCAUAGCCGAGUUGAGAGACUGAUCGGCCACAUUGGGACUGAGACACGGCCCGAACUCCUACGGGAGGCAGCAGUAGGGAAUCUUCCACAAUGGACGCAAGUCUGAUGGAGCAACGCCGCGUGAGUGAAGAAGGUUUUCGGAUCGUAAAGCUCUGUUGUUGGUGAAGAAGGAUAGAGGUAGUAACUGGCCUUUAUUUGACGGUAAUCAACCAGAAAGUCACGGCUAACUACGUGCCAGCAGCCGCGGUAAUACGUAGGUGGCAAGCGUUGUCCGGAUUUAUUGGGCGUAAAGCGAGCGCAGGCGGAAGAAUAAGUCUGAUGUGAAAGCCCUCGGCUUAACCGAGGAACUGCAUCGGAAACUGUUUUUCUUGAGUGCAGAAGAGGAGAGUGGAUCUCCAUGUGUAGCGGUGGAAUGCGUAGAUAUAUGGAAGAACACCAGUGGCGAAGGCGGCUCUCUGGUCUGCAACUGACGCUGAGGCUCGAAAGCAUGGGUAGUGAACAGGAUUAGAUACCCUGGUAGUCCAUGCCGUANACGAUGAGUGCUAAGUGUUGGGAGGUUUCCGCCUCUCAGUGCUGCAGCUAACGCAUUAAGCACUC
rnacentral:rRNA from 1 species